rnacentral:rRNA from 1 species
GCUCACCAAGACGAUGACGGGUAGCCGGCCUGAGAGGGCGACCGGCCACACUGGGACUGAGACACGGCCCAGACUCCUACGGGAGGCAGCAGUGGGGAAUAUUGCACAAUGGGCGAAAGCCUGAUGCAGCGACGCCGCGUGAGGGAUGACGGCCUUCGGGUUGUAAACCUCUUUCAGUAGGGAAGAAGCGAAAGUGACGGUACCUGCAGAAGAAGCGCCGGCUAACUACGUGCCAGCAGCCGCGGUAAUACGUAGGGCGCAAGCGUUGUCCGGAAUUAUUGGGCGUAAAGAGCUCGUAGGUGGCUUGUCGCGUCUGCCGUGAAAACCCGAGGCUCAACCUCGGGCGUGCGGUGGGUACGGGCAGGCUAGAGUGUGGUAGGGGAGACUGGAACUCCUGGUGUAGCGGUGAAAUGCGCAGAUAUCAGGAAGAACACCGAUGGCGAAGGCAGGUCUCUGGGCCAUUACUGACACUGAGGAGCGAAAGCAUGGGUAGCGAACAGGACUAGAUACCCUGGUAGUCCAUGCCGUAAACGUUGGGCACUAGAUGUGGGGGACAUUCCACGUUUUCCGCGUCGUAGCUAACGCAUUAAGUGCCCCGCCUGGGGAGUACGGCCGCAAGGCUAAAACUCAAAGGAAUUGACGGGGGCCCGCACAAGCGGCGGAGCAUGCUGAUUAAUUCGAUGCAACGCGAAGAACCUUACCAAGGCUUGACAUGCACCGGGCGACUGCAGAGAUGUGGUUUUCUUCGGACUGGUGCACAGGUGGUGCAUGGUUGUCGUCAGCUCGUGUCGUGAGAUGUUGGGUUAAGUCCCGCAACGAGCGCAACCCUCGUUCUAUGUUGCCAGCACGUCAUGGUGGGGACUCAUAGGAGACUGCCGGGGUCAACUCGGAGGAAGGUGGGGACGACGUCAAAUCAUCAUGCCCCUUAUGUCUUGGGCUUCAAGCAUGCUACAAUGGUCGGUACAAUGGGUUGCGAAACUGUGAGGUGGAGCGAAUCCCAAAAAGCCGGCCUCAGUUCGGAUUGGGGUCUGCAACUCGACCCCAUGAAGUCGGAGUCGCUAGUAAUCGCAGAUCAGCAACGCUGCGGUGAAUACGUUCCCGGGCCUUGUACACACCGCCCGUCAAGUCACGAAAGUCGGUAACACCCGAAGC